UUUUCCUAUUAUUCUUCGUAUCCUAUUGAGUGGAAGAUGUUCUUCAUACAUACUUUUCAUAGUCCCUAGAUCAGUUUGUAAAUUUUGUUUUUUAUUGCUCUGUUUUGGUUCUAAUAUUUUCUCUUAUUUUUUCUUAUUUCUAGAUUCUCAAAUAUUAGUUGUGCAAAGGAGUCGAGGUUACCUUCUCCAAACUGUGAUGCCGUUUUUUUUUCCCCCUUCUUGGUAGUUGCUGCAAGAAUUUGUGCUUUUCUUGAUUUCUUUAUUCAUAUAUGCACCAUAUAUUAUCCUCUCUGCCCUAAUAAUAUUAUAUUGUACUUGGUUUUUUAACCAUUGCAUUUGUAUAAGAUUUCGUUCGUUCGGAAGAAUGUGGAUUACGGAAUUUUAAGCAUAAUUUAUUGGAAUGAUCCCACCAAAAUCAUAAUUGUAUUUUGAAGUCAGGUUCGUCUUGCAUUCUCUACUUCUUCCCCCUUGCCCUCUGGUUCUAAAACUUGCUUUGGAUGAAUGAUGGUGGAGGUAUUGUCUCCGCGGCUGCAAAUCCUGUGAGAAGAGGGAGAUCUCAGAGGAAAUGGUAAAAGCUUUAUGAGCAAAUCCCAAUAUUUCCUCUCCAUUUCUAUGAUCCUGAUUGCCGCUCGCAAGGCCUGUGCCAAAAAGCUUCAAUGCCGCUGUCGUCAUCAGGGCUGGGGAAUUGGAGGUUUCAAAGAUGAUGAUGAGGAAGAAGACACAACCCAUGUUCCUUAAUCCAAUUCUUAUUUAAAGAGAGCACCAUUUCAUAAGCACUGCCCUUUUUUUUCUUUUCCUUUUCUCUCUGUUUUCUGGAUUUCGAAACUUCAUUGUGCAGUUUUUACCAUCUUUACACUAAUCAUAUUUCUCUUUAGAUCUACGAGCUAUUUGCUUGCGUGGAAAGGGAGACCUUGAUUCAAAACAAGUUUUAGGUUGUUAUUUUCUAUGUGAAACAUUGAUAUCAUUCUUUGUCAAAGUGAAAAGGAGUAUGUUGGGAGGACUCUAAGAGAAGGAAUCUUCACCAGGUUAAGGAGAAAAUACCUGCUUUCCUUGCUCGCCAUACGAUUGCUUGACUUAGUAUUGUCCUUGAUCCAUGUGCGGCACUAUUAGUUGUAAUAGUCACUGUUCUCUUGUGCAUUGAGAUCAUGGAGGUACUUUUUUUCUUCAACGUAGGUAUUUCUAGCCUAGAAGUCUUGAAAGAGUCUCUUGUGAUGGUUUAAACUGUAUUUAUACUUGUGGCCGGUUCAUAUGUUUCCUUUGUAUAUCUCUUAUUUUUUUUAAAACUCUUCAAGAUGAUUCUUUGUUAAUCUCGUCGGCGAAGAACCCAACGUUUGAAAAUUACAAUGUGAGUUAGUUACUUGU